AAUCCAUUAUAAUUUCACCACUGUAAGAGUUAUGACUAUUGCAAUUAUAUAAUUACAUUUCGGAUAUUUGAACGAGAACUAUAGGAGUCGAUUAAGAUUUAGUUUGGUAUUGAGGCCUAGAUAACGCUAUUAGAUAAAAUGGAGUUGAGAAAAAAGCAUAUAAUAGGGAUAUCCUUCUGCGUUCUCCGGUGGGACCGCAGAAAAUAUAUCGUAACCGACUCAUCGCGAUAUGCGAAACCGAAUAUUACGUACGGAAACAAACAGAGUAUUUUUCUAACGUAUUUUCUCACCUCACAUAACGCAAUUUGCCCGUAAUUCCAAACGAAGCCUAAGAUACAGAAUCAAAAGCUGCU
rnacentral:lncRNA from 1 species